GACGAACGCUGGCGGCGUGCCUAAUACAUGCAAGUAGAACGCUGAAGGAGGAGCUUGCUUCUCUGGAUGAGUUGCGAACGGGUGAGUAACGCGUAGGUAACCUGCCUGGUAGCGGGGGAUAACUAUUGGAAACGAUAGCUAAUACCGCAUAAUAGUAGAUGUUGCAUGACAUUUACUUAAAAGGUGCAAUUGCAUCACUACCAGAUGGACCUGCGUUGUAUUAGCUAGUUGGUGGGGUAACGGCUCACCAAGGCGACGAUACAUAGCCGACCUGAGAGGGUGAUCGGCCACACUGGGACUGAGACACGGCCCAGACUCCUACGGGAGGCAGCAGUAGGGAAUCUUCGGCAAUGGACGAAAGUCUGACCGAGCAACGCCGCGUGAGUGAAGAAGGGUUUCGGAUCGUAAAGCUCUGUUGUAAGAGAAGAACGAGUGUGAGAGUGGAAAGUUCACACUGUGACGGUAUCUUACCAGAAAGGGACGGCUAACUACGUG
rnacentral:rRNA from 1 species